GAACCCGGUCGCCAGGCACCCAUAUUCUGGACACAGCAGCCUCCUCGGCUCAUUUGUUCAGACACUGGCGUGUGAGCAACCUGUUCCGUUGUGUGACCAUAUCCCGCUGCUGCCGGCCCAGGAGGGCUGACGGCAACAAUGGUUCCCGACCCCGGAGAUGGUGGGGAGGGUGUUGGCAGGGAUGCCUCAGGUCACUGACUAGGAGGAACGCAAAGAGAUCUGACCCUAUAGGAAGCCGGCUGGCGGAAUGGGGAUUGAGCCCCCUUCCACAGAUUUGUGUGUGCCCUGUGGCCCAGGAGGACCGCCCUGGACUCGAGUCAGGUGCAGAAGGCAGUGUGGCUCCAGAGCCCACCCCAACCCCAGCAGGGGCAUCGGCAGCUCUGGAGGCAGGGGUGGUGUCAGGAGUGACUCCCGCAGCGACCCAGGAACCUGCAGGUGACCCAGCACCUGUGGAAGGACAGCCGGGUCCUGCCUCUGAUCCUGCUUCUGCCUCUGCCCCUCCUGUCCCUGCCUCUGUCACUGCUGCUCCUCCUGCCCCUGUAAGCCUGGCAGCCACCCUGGGGGAGCCUGGAGACCUGCCAGGGAAGAUCUCUGCUGUUCCAUCCCUCGCCCCUGACACCCCAGGGGAUCGUAUAUUGAUUUUCAUCAUUAUUUUUUUAAUAUUUUAUUUUAACACCUCUAGAAGAAUGAAUGUUAAAUAAAAAUUUUAUUUGCUUUUAAAAAAAAAAGGAUUAAACAAGGUAAAGCCAUACAGGCAAAUUAAAAUAUUAAGUUCCGUCACUUUGGGUAGUACUGUAUCAACUUGACUAAUGUCAGUUGAUUACUUCAUGCUAAGCAGAUUUGGAAACUGUAUAUACCCUUGAUAAAUUAACAACGAAUAUGAACAUGUUAACAAUGAACUAUGAACAUGGCAACAUAAUAACAUUACUAACAUAAUUUUUCAUAGAAAAAAUUUCUCAAUAUAUUAUGAAAAUGAGGGGGCGGGAUUAAUAAAAAGAAUCCCUAGGGAGUGAAAAGG
ensembl:lncRNA